UUGAUUACACGUCCUUUUUUCACUGUGUUUUAGUGUAAUCAUUUCGCGAUGCUUUCGUUCUGUUGCGAACCCAAAUGCAAUCAGAAAGGUUACAUAUCGUCAUUACAUAUCGAAAAGGUUUCUUUCUUUAACUUUCCUAAAGAGCCUUUGAUAAGAAAACAGUGGAUACACGCAAUCCGUCGAGAGGAACGCAAGGACUUCGUCAUAACAGAGAAUACGGAAGUCUAUCAACGGACGGAUUUAUGUCAAGGAAGACGGUGUUCCUUCAAAAUUUGACUGGUUUCCCAGGUGAUUUUUUUGAAUGAAGUAACACAAAAAGAUGGUGUUCCUUUGCCAGACUUGGUUUCCAGUGCCCAACAGAUCCGAGGGGCCAUCAAGAGCCUGGUACUGGCUGCUCAGAUAUUGGUCUCUGAAACAACAGAUGAUGAUUUGAAAUCAGCAAUGCCUCCAGCAUGUGAUUCUGUGACAGAUGCAGGGAAUGCAUUAGUGAUGGCAACACAUCAGCUUAAACAGCAGCCAUUCUCAGGCAAAGUGAGGUAAAACCUGGUAGACUCUGAAAGAAAUAUCCCUGAAGGAACCAUGAAGGAGUCAAUGAGGAACACCAGGAUGAGAAUUUGUGGACAGCAGGCUCUGUUGGCCUCAAUAAACCAUCUCAGACUUCUUGUGCUCCUGUGUCUAGAUUACUGAAUGCUGUAAAGGCCAGAGACUUUAACGUAGCAGAAAUGGAACUAAGAAAAGUUGAGUCUAGAGCCUAAUGGCUCUGAGUAUGCUGGGAAGCACAUCAGCUGACAAAUCAUGGAAUUUGGAGAGAGUGAGACGUGUUCAGGUCUAUGCAGGAGAGAUCAAAAGACUCACACCACUUAUCAUACAAGUAAUGCAUGAUGUUAGAAAUGAUACAGGUGACUUGGUGACUGUUGAGCCACUUUAGACUAUUGGUCGAGAAUGGGCUUCCAAAGUACAUGUGCUUUCUGGAACUGUUGAUGAAAUUGUUGUGCCCUGGUCAGCAGCAGCAUCUAAACUGGCUCUGGCUGCUCCUUCUGGUGAUGCAGAGCAAUUAAAAAAAAACCAGGAAAGGUGACUUGAGGUAGAGCUAGCUGGUAACGUUUCAAAUUACAAUUACAUGUCUCAGAUUGACAAAGAGACAUGCUCCAGUGUCCUGUAAAGUUUCUAAAGCUGACAUUUCUAGCAUAAGCCAUUUUUUAUUCACUCUGAGGAAGGGCUCAAAAUGUUAGCUUUAGAAACCAUGGUAGCCAAUUUAAGAACUUGAACUCAGUUGACAAAAAGGAAGUAUCUUGUAAAGAAAAGUAAUAAAGAAACAGACAUCUUUGCUUCCUAUUGUUCAAAAGAAAAGUAAUAAAGAAACGGAUAUCUUUGCUUCGUAUUGUUCAAACCUGCCAUUAGUUUCAUGAUUUGU